GGGUGAGUAGCUCAGCUGGUCAGAGCGCGCGGUUCACAUCCGCGAGGUCAGGGGUUCAAGUCCCUUCUCACCCACCA
rnacentral:tRNA from 2 species